GAUCUAGCUUGCUAGAUGCUGACGAGCGGCGGACGGGUGAGUAAUGCAUAGGAAUCUACCCGGUAGUGGGGGAUAACCUGGGGAAACCCAGGCUAAUACCGCAUACGUCCUACGGGAGAAAGGGGGCUCCGGCUCCCGCUAUCGGAUGAGCCUAUGUCGGAUUAGCUAGUUGGUGAGGUAAUGGCUCACCAAGGCAACGAUCCGUAGCUGGUCUGAGAGGAUGAUCAGCCACAUCGGGACUGAGACACGGCCCGAACUCCUACGGGAGGCAGCAGUGGGGAAUAUUGGACAAUGGGCGAAAGCCUGAUCCAGCCAUGCCGCGUGUGUGAAGAAGGCCUUCGGGUUGUAAAGCACUUUCAGCGAGGAAGAACGCCUAGUGGUUAAUACCCAUUAGGAAAGACAUCACUCGCAGAAGAAGCACCGGCUAACUCCGUGCCAGCAGCCGCGGUAAUACGGAGGGUGCAAGCGUUAAUCGGAAUUACUGGGCGUAAAGCGCGCGUAGGUGGCUUGAUAAGCCGGUUGUGAAAGCCCCGGGCUCAACCUGGGAACGGCAUCCGGAACUGUCAGGCUAGAGUGC
rnacentral:rRNA from 1 species